CAUCACUACGCUAGAUGCAUAUCAAUAAGCGGAGGAAAAGGCUGCGACUGACCCUACCUACGCUUAGGAUGUUGACACACGCGCGUGCUCGAUGAUAGUCUAUACAUGACUCUGCGCAUAUCAAUAAGCGGAGGAAAAGAAACUAACAAGGAUUCCCUUAGUAACGGCGAGUGAAGCGGGAAGAGCUCAAAUUUGAAAUCUUCAAGGUUUUACCUUGACGAAUUGUAGUUUAAAGAAGUGUUUUCUGUUGGAGUUUUGGUAAAAGUUCUUUGGAAUAGGACAUCAUAGAGGGUGAGAAUCCCGUAUUUGACCAUUAUUUCCAGCUGUGUGAUACACUUUCAAAGAGUCGGAUUGUUUGGGAAUGCAGUCCAAAAUGGGUGGUAAAUUUCAUCUAAAGCUAAAUAUUGGCGAGAGACCGAUAGCGAACAAGUACCGUGAGGGAAAGAUGAAAAGAACUUUGAAAAGAGAGUUAAACAGUACGUGAAAUUGUCAAAAGGGAAGCGUUUGACACCAGUGUUGUUUUCUCGAAAAUCAAUUAAAAAUGAUGGGAUUUUGUGCUGUAUUGACUUUAUCAGCUUUCUGCACUUUUUUCUUAUCUUUUUUAAUGCACUUUUCAGUUAACAAGUCAACAUCAAUUUCUUUUGUUGUAAAAGGGUAAGAGGAAGGUGGCUUACGCUUCGGCGUAAGUGUUUAUAGCCUUUUACCUCUGCAAUCGGAGAGAUUGAGGACAGCAGCGUAGACUCCUUCGGGGGUUAGAUACACUUGUGCUAAGCUAUAGCCUUGUAUAGACAACUUGUUGACUAUGCUCAGUCAUGUAGCUUACUCGCUUGUGCUAUUUUACCUACGCUUAGGAUGUUGACACACGCGCGUGCUCG
rnacentral:rRNA from 1 species